UACGAAGGGUGCAAGCGUUACUCGGAAUUACUGGGCGUAAAGCGUGCGUAGGUGGUUUGUUAAGUCUGAUGUGAAAGCCCUGGGCUCAACCUGGGAAUUGCACUGGAUACUGGCAGGCUAGAGUGCGGUAGAGGAUGGCGGAAUUCCCGGUGUAGCAGUGAAAUGCGUAGAGAUCGGGAGGAAGGCCGGUGGCGAAGGCGGCGCUCUGGAACAUUUCUGACGCUGAGGCUCGAAAGCGUGGGGAGCAAACAGG
rnacentral:rRNA from 1 species